AACAAUGAACAUAUUGGAUAUUAAAUAAGGAGAUUAUCAUUUCCUUUAAAAAAUGAAUAGUGUAAAUUGAAUUGCAUGAAAGGGUUAUCGUUCCUAUUCAAAAGGUGAAGGAGGUAUACUCAAUCAUUAAUAGUUUAGGGGGUACUCUAAAAUUUACUCGUAGUUUUAUGACUAGCAAGUUUCAUUCUUCGGGACGUUACUAGACACUAGCUAUAAAGUCAAUGUAAAAUAAGAAUACAUAUCACCUUAACUAUAUUUUUUUAGAAGCGCUUAUAUGCAAAACACAUCUUAUUGUAUUCAUUUUCUUGGUGCAAACAACGCCAAUAAAUUCUUUCCUUAGUGAAGAGGGGAACUCCCUUGAAAAUACUAUGACAUCAAACCUAUGUUGACUUCACUAAGUAUAAUACACCCAACCAACACUACCUCCAAAAGAUGAGUGGUUUAGAACCCACACACUAAAAUACAAAGCACAUUCAUUAUAUUAUAUUAAAAGAAAUGUAAGAAGGUAUAGUUAAUUCACAAGCUAUAGCAUCAAAAAAGUGACAAUAAGCAAACCACCCGUGACACAUUAGAGUACAAAAAAGAUGAUGCUUUUGCAGAAUUAUUCUUUUUUUUUUUUUUUUUCCUUUUUGGGGUACAAUUUCUUGAUACAAACACUGUCGGCAGAAACAAACUUAAAUACAAAUGAAAAAAUUGAUAGGUAAUUACAGUAUUUAUCACAAAA